UACAGAGGUCUCAAGCGUUGUUCGGAUUCAUUGGGCGUAAAGGGUGCGUAGGUGGCGCCGUAAGUCAGGUGUGAAAUUUCGGAGCUUAACUCCGAAACUGCAUUUGAUACUGCGGUGCUUGAGGACUGGAGAGGAGAGACUGGAAUUUACGGUGUAGCAGUGAAAUGCGUAGAGAUCGUAAGGAAGACCAGUGGCGAAGGCGGGUCUCUGGACAGUUCCUGACACUGAGGCACGAAGGCCAGGGAGCAAACGGG
rnacentral:rRNA from 1 species